ACAUACAACUAUAGCCGCUAGAUUACUUACGAUCCCGUCCGAUCUUAUAUAAUAACCUAGUAAGCGCUGGAUUAGUAGUUAGAUCGGUAAUAACCAGCAAAUACCCAGUAUUAUAUAUA
rnacentral:rRNA from 1 species